UACUGAUGAUGUGGACAGUCCUGAAGAAAAGCUUUGAACCUCUCUCAUGCAUGAUAUAAGUUUUCACCUAGCUUCUGUUUAAAGCUCACAAUCUUACUGUGCAGUUU
rnacentral:snoRNA from 1 species